GACGAACGCUGGCGGCGUGCCUAAUACAUGCAAGUUGAGCGCUGAAGGUUGGUUCUUGUCCCGACUGGAUGAGCAGCGGACGGGUGAGUCACGCGUGGGUAAUCUGCCGUUGGGCGGGAGACAAGGUAUGGAAACGUAUUCUAAUACCGCAUCAGAACUUUAAACACAAGUUUUUUGUUUGAACAAUGCAUUUGCAUCACUCAAAGCUGAUCCCGCGGUGGAUUAGCUAGUUGGUGAGGGAAAGGCCCACCAAGGCGAUGAUACAUAGACGACCUGGGAGGGAGAUUCGCCACAUUGGGAAUGGGGCACGGCUCCAACUCCUACGGGAGGGAGCAGGAGGGGAACUUCGGAAAUGGAGGAAAGUCUGACCGAGCAAAGCCGCGGGAGGUAAGAAGGUUUUCGGGUCGGAAAACUCUGUUGGUAGGGAAGAACGUUGGGGAGAGUGGAAAGCUCAUGAAGUGACGGUACCUACACAGAAAGGGACGGCUAACUACGUG
rnacentral:rRNA from 1 species